rnacentral:rRNA from 2 species
GAGGAAAAGAAACCAACAGGGAUUGCCUUAGUAACGGCGAGUGAAGCGGCAAAAGCUCAAAUUUGAAAUCUGGCACCUUCGGUGUCCGAGUUGUAAUUUGAAGAAGGUAACUUUGGAGUUGGCUCUUGUCUAUGUUCCUUGGAACAGGACGUCACAGAGGGUGAGAAUCCCGUGCGAUGAGAUGCCCAAUUCUAUGUAAAGUGCUUUCGAAGAGUCGAGUUGUUUGGGAAUGCAGCUCUAAGUGGGUGGUAAAUUCCAUCUAAAGCUAAAUAUUGGCGAGAGACCGAUAGCGAACAAGUACAGUGAUGGAAAGAUGAAAAGAACUUUGAAAAGAGAGUGAAAAAGUACGUGAAAUUGUUGAAAGGGAAGGGCUUGAGAUCAGACUUGGUAUUUUGCGAUCCUUUCCUUCUUGGUUGGGUUCCUCGCAGCUUACUGGGCCAGCAUCGGUUUGGAUGGUAGGAUAAUGACUAAGGAAUGUGGCUCUACUUCGGUGGAGUGUUAUAGCCUUGGUUGAUACUGCCUGUCUAGACCGAGGACUGCGUCUUUUGACUAGGAUGUUGGCAUAAUGAUCUUAAGCCACC